UCACUGAAGUGUUCCUGUACUAUUUUUUACUUCAGAAAGUAAAAAACUGAAAAGAUCUCCACUGUUUCUUAAGAGAUAUUGAAGAAUAAACACAAUGGGAAAGCAAUGAAGAAAGCAUGAGAAAGAAUUCAAGGAUUUUUGACCUGACCUUCACCAUUGAAGGAUUCUGUUAACUCAGUCUGCUUCUAUGAGGAACAAAAAGGGGGGACUGGAAUGUAAAAGUAGGAAGUCAAGAGAUACCUGGAGUAACAGGC